rnacentral:rRNA from 1 species
GACGAACCGGACGAACGUUAUUCGGAAUCAUUGGGCUUAAAGUGUGCGUAGGCGGCCCUGUAGGUGAGGUGUGAAAUCCCACGGCUCAACCGUGGAACUGCGCUUCAAACCACAAGGCUUGAGUGAGGCAGAGGUAAGCGGAACUGAUGGUGGAGCGGUGAAAUGCGUUGAUAUCAUCAGGAACACCGGUGGCGAAGGCGGCUUACUGGGCCUUGGCUGACGAUGAGACACGAAAGAUAGGGGAGCAAACGGG